CUUUUGUUUUAUUUUUACCCAGGAGACAAAAGCACGUGACUCUGAAUGGGGUGGAAGAAGCUGAUGAAGUUUGCCAGGCUCUUCCCUCCAAUCCCCAAACUAGACCUUGGACCAUCUCUCCACUGGACCACCAGCUACAAUGUCAACAGCUCCACAACUUGCAAGUCUUGCCAAAGUGUUUUAAAGGAUGAUUUAUUAAAGGAAAAUCUAAAUUAGCAAUUGGAUAUAUUCCACUAUAGGAACUUAAGACCACUCAUUAAUUCUACAACGACUUUCUGAGCACCUACCAGUGGGCCAGGCUGGGGAAACAAAGGCCCAGAGGAGAGGAGGGAAAAAUGAUUGCAUGGGCCAGGCCCAGGGCCCUGCUGCUCUGUGUAGUCUUGGGACAUGGUGACCGGCAUUCCAGCUUCUCCAGCUCCAGCCAUGCCUAAA
rnacentral:lncRNA from 1 species